AGCAGCCGCGGUAAUUCCAGCUCCAAUAGCGUAUAUUAAAGUUGUUGCAGUUAAAAAGCUCGUAGUUGAAUUUCGGGGUCAGUAAGUUGGUCGUGCCACUGGUAUGUACUGGUCUCACUGAUUCCUCCUUCCUGAUGAGCUGUAAUGCCAUUAAUUUGGUGUUGCAGGGAAUCUGGACUGUUACUUUGAAAAAAUUAGAGUGUUUAAAGCAGGCUAACGCUUGAAUACAUUAGCAUGGAAUAAUGAAAUAGGACGUUCGAUCCUAUUUUGUUGGUUUCUAGGAUUGACGUAAUGAUUAAUAGGGAUAGUUGGGGGCAUUAGUAUUCAAUUGUCAGAGGUGAAAUUCUUGGAUUUAUUGAAGACUAACUACUGCGAAAGCAUUUGCCAAGGAUGUUUUCAUUAAUCAAGAACGAAAGUUAGAGGAUCGAAGACGAUCAGAUACCGUCGUAGUCUUAACCAUAAACUAUGCCGACUAGGGAUCGGAUGAUGUUAAUUUUUUAAUGACUCAUUCGGCGCCUUACG
rnacentral:rRNA from 1 species